rnacentral:rRNA from 1 species
GGCAGACGGGUGAGUAACGCGUGGGAAUCUACCCAGUUCUACGGAAUAACUGAGGGAAACUUCAGCUAAUACCGUAUACGCCCUACGGGGGAAAGAUUUAUCGGAAUUGGAUGAGCCCGCGUAAGAUUAGCUAGUUGGUGGGGUAAUGGCCUACCAAGGCGACGAUCUUUAGCUGGUCUGAGAGGACGACCAGCCACACUGGGACUGAGACACGGCCAGACUCCUACGGGAGGCAGCAGUAAGGAAUAUUCCACAAUGGACGCAAGUCUGAUGGAGCGACGCCGCGUGAGCGAAGAAGCCCUUCGGGGUGUAAAGCUCUUUUUCCCAGGGAUGAAGAUGACAGUACCUGGGGAAUAAGCCUCGGCUAACUACGUGCCAGCCGCCGCGG